rnacentral:rRNA from 1 species
GUGCAGCAGUCGCGAAACUUUACAAUGUGCGAAAGCACGAUAAGGGAACUCUGAGUGCCUCCUAAGGAGGCUGUUCAGGUGUCUAAAAGCACCUGGAGGAAGGGCUGGGUAAGACCGGUGCCAGCCGCCGCGGUAACACCGGCAGCCCAAGUGGUAGCCACGUUUAUUGGGUCUAAAGCGUCCGUAGCCGGCUGGGUAAGUUCCUUGGGAAAUUUGGCUGCUUAACAGUCAAGCUUUCAGGGAAUACUGCCCGGCUUGGGACCGGGAGAGGUCAGAGGUACUCCAGGGGUAGGGGUGAAAUCCAUUAAUCCUUGGGGGACCACCGGUAGCGAAGGCGUCUGACCAGACCGGGUCCGACGGUGAGGGACGAAGGCUA